rnacentral:tRNA from 1 species
GGGUCGUUAGCUCAGUCGGUAGAGCAGCUGACUUUUAAUCAGCGGGUCGUAGGUUCGAGUCCUACACGACCCACCA